CCUACGGGCGGCAGCAGUGAGGAAUAUUGGUCAAUGGGCGGAAGCCUGAACCAGCCAAGUCGCGUGAGGGAUGAAGGUGCUAUGGAUCGUAAACCUCUUUUAUAAGGGAAUAAAGUGUGGGACGUGGCCUGUUUUGUAUGUACCUUAUGAAUAAGGAUCGGCUAACUCCGUGCCAGCAGCCUCGGUAAUACGGAGGAUCCGCGCGUUAUCCGGAUUUAUUGGGUUUAAAGGGUGCGUAGGCGGCCUUUUAAGUCAGCGGUGAAAGUCUGUGGCUCAACCCUAGAAUUGCCGUUGAAACUGGGAGUCUUUCUUAUGUUUGCGCCCGGCGGACUGCGUGGUGUAGCGGUCAACUGCU
rnacentral:rRNA from 1 species